UGGUGGAGUGAUUUGUCUGGUUAAUUCCGUUAACGAACGAGACCUCGACCUGCUAAAUAGUCUGGCGAACCUCUGGUUCGUACUGACUUCUUAGAGGGACUAUCGGUGUUUAUCCGUUUGGAAGUGCGAGGCAAUAACA
rnacentral:rRNA from 1 species